rnacentral:rRNA from 1 species
AAAUUGAAGAGUUUGAUCAUGGCUCAGAUUGAACGCUGGCGGCAGGCCUAACACAUGCAAGUCGAACGGUAACAGGAAACAGCUUGCUGUUUCGCUGACGAGUGGCGGACGGGUGAGUAAUGUCUGGGAAACUGCCCGAUGGAGGGGGAUAACUACUGGAAACGGUAGCUAAUACCGCAUAACGUCGCAAGACCAAAGAGGGGGACCUUAGGGCCUCUUGCCAUCGGAUGUGCCCAGAUGGGAUUAGCUAGUAGGUGGGGUAAAGGCUCACCUAGGCGACGAUCCCUAGCUGGUCUGAGAGGAUGACCAGCCACACUGGAACUGAGACACGGUCCAGACUC